rnacentral:rRNA from 1 species
UCUAAGGACUAGUCAUGCAUGUCUCCGAAUAGAAGAGCAAGUCUCUCUGAAUCUGCGAACGGCUCCGCAAACCAGUUGUAAACCAUAGCAAGCAAAUCGGGUCGUCGCUUCACGGCGUGCGGCUCGGUUAAUAAGGAUACCCAUGGUAAUUCUGAGGCUAAUACAAGAACGUACAACCCACCCGACCCGCAAGGGAAGGGAGGGGAAUGUGUGACUAGGCACGCAAAUAUCGUACUGGGAGUGGCCACACGUUCAGACCGUCAUACCAAACGGUUGUUCGCUUCGAAAGCCUCCGGGCGAGUAGCGGCGGGCUUCCGGGCGGCUCUUGCUGUGUGCUUCUGACCUAUCAACUAGAUGGCAGCGUAACGGACAUGCUAUGGUGACAACGGGUACAGAGGUAAGGGUUCGA